rnacentral:rRNA from 1 species
AGUGAACGCUGGCGGUAGGCCUAACACAUGCAAGUCGAACGGCAGCACAGUAAGAGCUUGCUCUUACGGGUGGCGAGUGGCGGACGGGUGAGGAAUACAUCGGAAUCUACUUUUUCGUGGGGGAUAACGUAGGGAAACUUACGCUAAUACCGCAUACGACCUACGGGUGAAAGCAGGGGAUCUUCGGACCUUGCGCGAUUGAAUGAGCCGAUGUCGGAUUAGCUAGUUGGCGGGGUAAAGGCCCACCAAGGCGACGAUCCGUAGCUGGUCUGAGAGGAUGAUCAGCCACACUUGAAAUGAGACACGGUCCAGACUCCUACGGGAGGCAGCAGUGGGGAAUAUUGGACAAUGGGCGCAAGCCUGAGCCAGCCAUACCGCGUGGGUGAAGAAGGCCUUCGGGUUGUAAAGCCCUUUUGUUGGGAAAGAAAAGCAGCAGGUUAAUACCCCGCUGUUCUGACGGUACCCAAAGAAUAAGCACCGGCUAACUUCGUG